GUAGGGUGCAAGCGUUAUCCGGAAUUAUUGGGCGUAAAGGGCUCGUAGGCGGUUCGUCGCGUCCGGUGUGAAAGUCCAUCGCUUAACGGUGGAUCCGCGCCGGGUACGGGCGGGCUUGAGUGCGGUAGGGGAGACUGGAAUUCCCGGUGUAACGGUGGAAUGUGUAGAUAUCGGGAAGAACACCAAUGGCGAAGGCAGGUCUCUGGGCCGUCACUGACGCUGAGGAGCGAAAGCGUGGGGAGCGAACAGGAUUAGAUACCCUGGUAGUCCACGCCGUAAACGGUGGAUGCUGGAUGUGGGGACCAUUCCACGGUCUCCGUGUCGGAGCCAACGCGUUAAGCAUCCCGCCUGGGGAGUACGGCCGCAAGGCUAAAACUC
rnacentral:rRNA from 1 species